rnacentral:lncRNA from 1 species
CCGGGACAGCGCUCACAGCUCUGUGUGCCCUCUUUAUUUCCUCCCCUGGGAGUUAUUUGUUCCCAGCAGGAGGCGUCAGCAGCGAGCGGGGGCUGGAUGGAGAGCUGCAUUCCAGGCCUGGUGUCCCAGGUGACGAGGCCUCCAGCCAGAGCAUCUGUCCUUCCUCACAGCCCAGAUGUCCUUGAACCCAAGGUCAAGUCCCUGAAUCUUCUGCCCAUCCUCAUUCCUCACCACUGGCCCCUGCAGGUGGUGCAGCGCCCACCUCCUUCCGUGCUCCUGUCCUGAAGCCUGCGUGCCUCCACACAGUCAAAGCUGGGACAUCUCCAGUGAAUCUAUCACUGGCAACACAACCAUUUCCUGACUCCUACGGCUUGGUCAAAUCCCUCCUUCCACCCCAGGCCUCUGGACUGGAAGGCUGUGGUCAUGCUGGUUCUUGCAGCCCUGAUGGCUCCCCUCGGGCUCCUGGUGCCACGUUGUGCCUGUCCAAGCCACUCAGCUUCAGGACGAAGAGGUGUUUGCCCUGCUGGCUCCCUGCAAGUUUUCCAGCUCUGCCCCCGUCUUUGCCACUAAAUCUGCAGUGUCUAUUGCUGGCCGUGGUCUCCCCGCUCCAGACGCCUUUCUGCCUGCAUUGAGGAGAGAGACACUGACCCUGAUGGGAAGCUUCCACACAUGUGCAGGGGGCCCGCCCGUGGUGAGGUCUCUGCAGCAUGAUGGGGCUGGAAGCUGGCGGCUUUGUUGUGGUUAUCUAUAAAUCUUCUGUUUGGGAACAGCCAGGCCUUUUCCUGAGUGGUCAAGGUAAGGUUGUGCGGCCAUGCCCUGACCACCACCGUUCUUGGAGCUGAGCUUCAGGAGAGAGCUGGGGUCUCUGUGAAUAUUACGUAGGCAUUUAUUUAAUCUCAUUUCCAACAUCGCACCCCUCCGACCUCUACUGGGCAUGUGUUCCUGAAUGUAAGCUUUGUUAAGUGUGCUCCCAGCCGACAGACAAAAGGGGCUCCCUGUGGCCACCUGAUGCACUCAGAGUUAAAACAAGCAGGCGGCCAUGGCAGGAUAAGGAAGCGGCCACCCACUCUCUGUCUUCGGGAAGAUGUUGUGAAAGUGUCAUAGGACCUCCCUUUCUACAAUCAGGCCAGACCAGUUCCUGUCGUUGGUGCUGAGCCAGACCUUGGCUUAAAAUUCCCCACUGACCACCCGCAGGCCACCUGAGGCUGAUGCAGAGAGACCGGCAAGGUCUCGCUUAAAGGCCUUCCCGUCUAGAUCCUGCAACGAACUCCCCCUAAACUCCUAUUCUGAAGGAUUUGCCUUCAUCAUCUCCCAAUCCCUGAUCCCUCCACCUGUGUCUUACACCAAAGGCUGCGUGUCCACAAUCACAGAUUUUUCUAAAAGCAAAAUCUAUUUGCUUUUAGAAAAUAAGGUUCUCCCGUUGCCUCCACAGAUAUCACCGGUCUUUUGUUAACAGCUUCCAUGUCAUUCUGGAUGCCUUACGUCCUCAGCAGUAGCCAGGGCAAGGAGCCAUGUGGGGAGGAGAGGGGUGUGGGACAGGCAUCUAUACCUCUCAUGCAGACCUUGUCCACACUCUUCCUUUUCAGCCCGCAGGCUCCCCACCUCCCACAGCUACUGGUGCUCCAGUUCGGGAGCCUCUCCGGGUUCUUCAGAGAGCAGGGCUUAAUUCCUAACAGCCCCCGUUUUCCAGGUGCCUGGGCUUCAGCCUUCUCAGCUCCACACACCAUCUUUGCCACACACACUACGUUGGCAACUUUACCUGAUACUGUAUUUUCUCAUUUUGCCUAUUAUUUUUGGUUUUGUGUAUUUACAACAUUUUAUUCCUUUAGUUUUCAUUUUAGAGAGGAUUAGGAGAGAGAAGGAAUGAACACUGUGUGAGGUCCGCCAUGUUUAACCAGAAGUCCCUGUUAUCUGCUUAAUGACACCUUUCCAGAAGAAGAAUUGCUGGGUCAAAAGCCAUGCGUGUUUCACACGGCGAGUCGCGUUAAACUGUCCACCGGAAAAGUGCACUGACUUUUUUUAGCAGCAAGUAAGCGGGAGGGUUGCUCUUAUUUUAUAAAUGCUAUUUUUCUUUUGUAUGAUAAAAGAGACUUAUUUUUGAGGCAACACAUGAUGACACCAGCGUAUUUUAAUUGGUACACUUCAUUAUAGAGCAUCAGAAAAAUAAAAUCAGUGUGACGAGGCAGCAGCCCCAGAAGGCGGCCACUCAUUGCAGCCACUGCCGGCCUGUGCUUUGUGAGCUGGACGGUUCUCUUGCCUCGUUCCAGCCUCAGUCUGCCUAAAAGUGGAUAUUCCAGACAGGAAAUGUGUCUAGCCUGAUGGUGAAGACUGUCUGGAGGAUGGUUGGUUUUGAGGGGGAUGAUGAUUUUGCAGGAAGGUUUCACAAAAUUUGUCCAAGGUGGAUUUCUGCUGUUGCUAAAUUUUCCUGGUGUGCUAGGCAGGACAAUGGUGGGAAAGUAAACCUGGAGUAAGAGAAAACACUCAGACUUCCCAAAGUAGACGAGAGAAACUUUGCGUUUUGCAAGGGAGGCGAGUGGAAGACCCUGUUGCAAUUGUCUUGUGUUUCCAUUUUGCUCAGUGAAGCCGAGUUUGCCCCGGGCCAACUGUGCUUGUCAGAUGUGUGUGCUGGGGUGGGGCACCGCCAUUAUUAAUGGCAUAAGGUGGUGGGGUACAGGCAGGAGCAACUUGGAAAUGGAAGCUCUGUGUCUUCCUUCGGGCAGCUGAUUGCACUGGCUUGUCGAGAAGGUGUGGGUGUCUGGAAAGCGCCUAUGAGGACCAGUAGUCAGGGGGCCAGCAGGAGCCACGGUGAAGAGAGACUGUUGCUAGUCAGGGAGCCGGCAGGAGCCACGGUGAAGAGAGACUGUUGCUCGGGGUCUCCCAGGAUAGACCGAGUUGGGAACUAACUAGGUGGUCCCCAUUGCCAUGGAGACAACCUUCCCAGACAGCGAUGGGGAAUGGUGAACAGUCCACGAGGGAGACGCCGAUUCAGGCUUCAGAUGCAAUUUCCUGGGAUCCCUCGCUUACAUUUUCUGCUCUUUGCUGAGUUCCGCUUUUCUCUCUAUGUCUCCUUUGUUUUCUAUUGUGUAUUCUCUCCUUCUGGGGAGGAAGUGUGGGAAGCAGUGAAGAGGUCCUGCUCUGGAGAUGAGGAGCCGGGUUGAAGGAAGAGUUGAGCACAGCGGACCUGGCAGGUGGGGGUGUCCAGAGAGGCUGUGGCUGUGCAGAGCAGCCGCCUGGGGGAGGCGUGCAGAAUUGAGUCUGAACACAUGGCCUUUCUGGUGCAUCCGGCUAGAUUGGGAAUGUGUUGGUCUAUCUCCCUUAGCAGCCCUGGUCCAAGGAGUACAAUCAGAGAGAUAUAAGCCAAUCACUCCAAGUUGUCAUCUUUCUCUUCACCGUGCCUGGAAGAGGAAGGUAACUGUUUUGGUUUGUUAGAAAAGAAAUACCAACCCAGCAGCUGAGAGAUUUCCCCAGUGGACAGGCCUGUGUUUGGGAAGGAAAGUUAAAGCCAGUGGAUUUCUAGUUCGCUUGUUUUCUCUAACAAGAUAUCAGAAGGGCUGCAGAAUCCAGUUAAUCCAUCCAGUGGUAUUUUUGAGAUGAGGUAGCAGGUGCUUCAGAGCCAGAAAGACAGACUGUGGGUGGCUCAUCCAGAGGCUCACUGAGGAUUCUGCACCACAGAUCUGUGUCCAGCAAACAAAGGAGCUGGGGUCAGAGCCAGUGAAACACAGGACCAUUCCCCA